rnacentral:rRNA from 1 species
UACAGAGGUCCCGAGCGUUGUUCGGAUUCACUGGGCGUAAAGGGUGCGUAGGUGGCCGGUUAAGUCUGACGUGAAAUCUCCGAGCCUAACUCGGAAACUGCGUCGGAAACUAUCCGGCUCGAGGGUUGGAGGGGGGACUGGAAUACUUGGUGUAGCAGUGAAAUGCGUAGAUAUCAAGUGGAACACCAGUGGCGAAGGCGAGUCCCUGGACAACUCCUGACACUGAGGCACGAAAGCUAGGGGGAGCAAACAGG